rnacentral:rRNA from 1 species
CCUACGGGAGGCAGCAGUAGGGAAUCUUCCACAAUGGACGAAAGUCUGAUGGAGCAACGCCGCGUGAGUGAAGAAGGGUUUCGGCUCGUAAAGCUCUGUUGGUAGUGAAGAAAGAUAGAGGUAGUAACUGGCCUUUAUUUGACGGUCAUUACUUAGAAAGUCACGGCUAACUACGUGCCAGCAGCCGCGGUAAUACGUAGGUGGCAAGCGUUGUCCGGAUUUAUUGGGCGUAAAGCGAGUGUAGGCGGUUCAAUAAGUCUGAUGUGAAAGCCUUCGGCUCAACCGGAGAAUUGCAUCAGAAACUGGUGAACUUGAGUGCAGAAGAGGAGAGGGGAACUCCAUGUGUAGCGGUGGAAUGCGUAGAUAUAUGGAAGAACACCAGUGGCGAAGGCGGCUCUCUGGUCUGCAACUGACGCUGAGGCUCGAAAGCAUGGGUAGCGAACAGGAUGAGAUACCCCUGUAC